UGGCCGCAAACUUCCACCAUGUACGUU
rnacentral:piRNA from 1 species